rnacentral:rRNA from 1 species
AUUGAACGCCGGCGGCAGGCCUAACACAUGCAAGUCGAACGGUAACAGGAAACAGCUUGCUGUUUCGCUGACGAGUGGCGGACGGGUGAGUAAUGUCUGGGAAACUGCCUGAUGGAGGGGGAUAACUACUGGAAACGGUAGCUAAUACCGCAUAACGUCGCAAGACCAAAGAGGGGGACCUUCGGGCCUCUUGCCAUCGGAUGUGCCCAGAUGGGAUUAGCUAGUAGGUGGGGUAACGGCUCACCUAGGCGACGAUCCCUAGCUGGUCUGAGAGGAUGACCAGCCACACUGGAACUGAGACACGGUCCAGACUCCUACGGGAGGCAGCAGUGGGGAAUAUUGCACAAUGGGCGCAAGCCUGAUGCAGCCAUGCCGCGUGUAUGAAGAAGGCCUUCGGGUUGUAAAGUACUUUCGGCGGGGAGGAAGGGAGUAAAGUUAA